GAUGAACGCUGGCGGCGUGCUUAAUACAUGCAAGUCGAACGAAGCACCUUGGACAGAAUCCUUCGGGAGGAAGACCAUUGUGACUGAGUGGCGGACGGGUGAGUAACGCGUGGGUAACCUGCCUUGUACAGGGGGAUAACAGUUGGAAACGACUGCUAAUACCGCAUAAGCGCACAGUACCGCAUGGUGCGGUGUGAAAAACUCCGGUGGUACAAGAUGGACCCGCGUCUGAUUAGCUGGUUGGUGAGGUAACGGCCCACCAAGGCGACGAUCAGUAGCCGACUUGAGAGAGUGAUCGGCCACAUUGGGACUGAGACACGGCCCAAACUCCUACGGGAGGCAGCAGUAGGGAAUAUUGCACAAUGGGGGAAACCCUGAUGCAGCGACGCCGCGUGAAGGAAGAAGUAUUUCGGUAUGUAAACUUCUAUCAGCAAGGAAGAAAAUGACGGUACU
rnacentral:rRNA from 1 species